rnacentral:tRNA from 1 species
GCCUAGUUAGCUUAGUUGGUAGCGCGUCUGCCUUGUAAGCGCUAGGCCGCGGGUUCGAUUUCCGCCCGAGGCG